GGCACUUAUCUUUCGCUUCUGAGACACCGAAUAAAGGAAGAAGAAGAACAACUACAACAAGAAGACCUCCGCCUAGUUAAAUGUGAUUUUUAUACACACGCAGCAGCGGAACUCCAGCUGUAGGGCUCAGAGGACCAAUAUGUUUAUGUUAUGAAUGACUGACGGGCCAAGAUGCGCCCGCUGCUUCCCCCAAGUCAUGGAGAAAUUAAGAAACUCAACAGGUUGCACAGGGAUUGUGUGCCCACUACAGUAUUCAGGGACUAUGCAGAACAGCACUAUCUCCAGCAGGGAGCACAGAGCUGUGGGCUUUGUGCUUGUGCAUGCAGGAGCAGGGUAUCAUUCGGAAUCCAAAGCCAAGGAGUAUAAACAUGUGUGCAAGAGAGCUUGUCAGAAAGCUGUGGACAGGCUGAGAGCUGGAGCCAUGGCCCUGGAAGCAGUGACGGCAGCUCUUACAGAGCUAGAGGAUUCACCAUUCACCAACGCUGGUACAGGCUCCAACCUUAACCUCUCUGGGGAUAUUGAGUGUGAUGCGAGCAUAAUGGAUGGGAAGUCAUUAGAAUAUGGAGCAGUUGGAGCUUUAAGUGGAAUCAAAAACCCAGUGUUGGUGGCCAGAAGACUACUGAGUGAAGCACAGAAAGGGAAGCUUUCAGCUGGCAGAAUCCCUCCCUGCUUUUUAGUGGGAACAGGCGCACAGCAAUGGGCUCUCACUCACGGAAUACCUCCUUGUCCUUCAGAGAAGAUGGCCACCAAAUUUAGUUUGUCAGCGUACAAAAGGAACAAACGGAAGAUGGAGCUGGCAGAGAAAAUAGAGACAGAACAUCAUUUUUUGAAGAGACAACGAACGUCAAGUGGAACUGUGAGUGAAAUUGUAGAGCCUAUCUCCUCGUCCUUGGACACAGUGGGGGCAAUCGUUGUGGAUCAGGAAGGGAAUGUGGCAGCUGCUGUCUCCAGUGGAGGUUUGGCCAUGAAACAUCCAGGGCGAGUGGGCCAGGCUGCUCAUUAUGGCUGUGGCUGCUGGGCUGAAAAUGCACAUGAUGCCAGAACUUACGCUACAGCUGUAAGCACCUCAGGAUGUGGUGAGCAUCUGAUACGCACUAUGCUAGCCAGAGAGUGUUCCACAGCUGUGCAGGCUGAAGAUGCACAUCAAGCCCUCCUGGAAGCUAUGCAAAACAAGUUCAUAGGUUCCCGAUUCCUGGCCAGUGAGGAUGGUGUUCUGGGUGGGGUAAUUGUUCUAAGGUGCUGUAAAUGUGGAGAUGAUCAGAGUUCUGAGAAUCUCCAGGCUUUGCUGGUAGAGUUCCUCUGGAGCCAUACUACAGAAAGUAUGUGUGUGGGUUACAUGUCUGCGCAUGACAGUAAAGCCAAGACUCAUAUAUCCAGACUGCCUCCUGGAGCUGUGGCUGGACAAUCACUGGCGAUCGAAGGUGGUGUGUGUCGGCUGGGGGCCACAAAUGAUUGAAAGCAGAUAAAAUCCCCUUUUUUCAGCAGCAAUAUGCUCAUCGUAAUCAAGACAAAGUCUUAUCAAUGGAGGGUGUGCAAGGUGCCAACAAUCAGACAGGGAGGCUGAAGAAGUGGAGAUUCAGAAAUUCUGGAGGACCAGGAUGACUAAGACAUGCAUAAAUAUGCAACCUUUGAAAACAGAAAUGUAGAGAUGUUCAGUGAACAAGGUCUCCACACUCUUUGCUUGACAGUAUAAUGCACUGAUGCACAGUUAGAAAACACAUUAUUCAGUAACAGAUGGGGCCUGUAGGGCCUUUGAGGUCUUCAGAGAAGGCCUAAUGAUUUCUGGGAUCUGAAAAAAAGUCUAUAAUUUUUAGUUCAAUUUUAUUCAAUAGACAAUAAAUAAAUAAAUAAAACUCUUACAAUUAUUACAGCACUGCUCUUGUUUCAUUGUAAAGUGUUGGAUGAAAACAAAAGGGUUGUAUUCUUGAAACACCAGCAGAAAAUUGACUAAUCAUGAUUUUUUUUCCUGUGGUAUCUUGGUAGAUAUAGUUGAGCAAGAUCUCCUGGUAGGAACUGGAGCGCAGUCCAUUCUGGAAGUCCCAGAUAUCUCACUGACUGAAUAUGAUUGGCAGCCUAAUCAAUGGGAAUAUAAAAAUGAAAAAUAGCAGUAGUGAAAAACUCUAUUCUAGAGUUUACUAUGGAAACGUCUCUUUGAAACUGCCAGGUAAAAUAUAUGCUGAUAUGUCUGUUUCAAGCUUCAAGUUAAAAAUGGAAUGUCUUUCAGAAGCUUUGAAUUUUUGUUUUUUAUCUAGAACUGCUAAAACAUAUUAAUGUGAAUUACCAUUAGUGCUAAAAAUGCUACUAGAAUUCCAUAGGGCCACUAACAGAAGCUAGCAUUAUCCUGGAGGUGGGUUCAUGUUUUGACAUUUGUCUCUCAGGUGGAAAUAUAUAGUAAUAUAUUUAGCUACACAACAUUUUUUUUGUUUCUACUUAUGUACUUGUACUAAUGUACCUUUCACACGUCAGGGUUUUUCCUUUCCAUUGUUGGAGUCCUGCAGCCUCUGUAUGGUUCUGAAUAAAGAAAUGGUCUCUGCAUGUCUCUGAAUAAAGGAUGUUCUUUUAUAACACUCUGUGUGAGACACACUGACAACCUAAGACCUGAUUUCCUCUUCGCUCUCUCUCCUCUCAAAAAUAGUACGAAGACAUGAAGCAGCUUAGUAAAUGAGGCCACAGAAACAGAUCUGUGAAGACUCAAGGGGAGGUGACGUUCAAAGAACUCAGUAACUUAUAACAUAAAUAAUAUGCCAGCAUCAUUGUGGUGAUUCCUGUAUAAAGACCAUGUCACCUACAUU